rnacentral:rRNA from 1 species
UACGUAGGGUGCAAGCGUUAAUCGGAAUUACUGGGCGUAAAGCGUGCGCAGGCGGUUGUGCAAAACAGAUGUGAAAUCCCCGGGCUCAACCUGGGAAUUGCAUUUGUGACUGCACGGCUAGAGUGUGUCAGAGGGGGGGUAGAAUUCCACGUGUAGCAGUGAAAUGCGUAGAGAUGUGGAGGAAUACCGAUGGCGAAGGCAGCCCCCCUGGGAUAACACUGACGCUCAUGCACGAAAGCGUGGGGAGCAAACAGG